rnacentral:rRNA from 1 species
UACGUAGGGCGCAAGCGUUGUCCGGAAUUAUUGGGCGUAAAGAGCUCGUAGGCGGCUUGUCACGUCGGGUGUGAAAGACCCGGGCUUGAACCCCGGGUCUGCAUUCGAUACGGGCAGGCGUAGAGUGUGGUAGGGAGGAUCGGAAUUCCUGGUGUAGCGGUGAAAUGCGCAGAUAUCAGGAGGAACACCGGUGGCGAAGGCGGAUCUCUGGGCCAUUACUGACGCUGAGGAGCGAAAGCGUGGGGAGCGAACAGG